rnacentral:rRNA from 1 species
CCUACGGGGGGCAGCAGUGGGGAAUUUUUUGCAAUGGGCGAAAGUCUGAACGCAGCGGCCGCCGCGUGGGGGAAGAGGGCCUUCCGGUUUUAAACUUUUUUGUGGGGGGACGAAGCUACUCGGGGUUAAUAUCCCGGAGGUUGACGGUACCUCCAGAGAAAGCCCCGGCUAACUAUGUGCCAGCAGCCGCGGUAAUACGUGGGGGGCAAGCGUUUUUCGGAAUUAUUGGGCGUAAAGAGCGCGUAGGCGGCCUUUUAAGUCUGAUGUGAAAACUCCCGGCUCAACCCCGGAGAUGUCGGCGGAAACUGUCGGGCUAGAGUCCGGAAGAGGGGAGUGGAAUUCCCGGUGUAGCGGUGAAAUGCGCAGAUAUCUGGAGGAACACCCGUGGCGAAGGCGGCUCUCUGGGCCGUUACUGACGCUGAGACGCGAAAGCGUGGGGAGCGAACAGGAUUAGAUACCCCGGUAGUCCACGCCCUAAACGAUGGGUGCUAGGUGUGGGGGGUGUUGACUCCCUCAGUGCCGCAGCUAACGCAUCCCCCCUGGGGGCCCGGGGUUU